AUGGCUCAGGAUGAACGCUGGCGGCGUGCCUAACACAUGCAAGUCGAACGGGGUUAAGUGAAUUUCGGAUUGACCUUAACUAGUGGCGGACGGGUGAGUAACGCGUGGAUAACCUGCCUCACGACAGGGGGAUAGCAGCUGGAAACGGCUGGUAAUACCGCAUAAGACCACAGUGCCGCAUGGCACAGGGGUAAAAGAUUUAUCGGUGUGAGAUGGAUCCGCGUCUGAUUAGCCAGUUGGCGGGUAACGGCCCACCAAAGCGACGAUCAGUAGCCGGCCUGAGAGGGUGAACGGCCACAUUGGGACUGAGACACGGCCCAAACUCCUACGGGAGGCAGCAGUGGGGAAUAUUGCACAAUGGGCGCAAGCCUGAUGCAGCAAACCGCCGCGUGAGUGAAGAAGUAUUUCGGUAUGUAAAGCUCUAUCGGCAGGGAAGAAAGGCCCGCAAGGGAGAUGACGGUACCUGACUAAGAAGCCCCGGCUAACUACGUGCCAGCAGCCGC
rnacentral:rRNA from 1 species